GAUGAACGCUGGCGACGUGCUUAACACAUGCAAGUCGAACGCUGAAGCUACCAGCUUGCUGGUGGUGGAUGAGUGGCGAACGGGUGAGUAACACGUGAGUAACCUGCCCUUGACUCUGGGAUAAGCCUGGGAAACUGGGUCUAAUACUGGAUACGACCAUUGGCCGCAUGGCCUUAGUGGUGGAAAGAUUUUUUGGUUGGGGAUGGACUCGCGGCCUAUCAGCUUGUUGGUGAGGUAGUGGCUCACCAAGGCGACGACGGGUAGCCGGCCUGAGAGGGUGACCGGCCACACUGGGACUGAGACACGGCCCAGACUCCUACGGGAGGCAGCAGUGGGGAAUAUUGCACAAUGGGCGCAAGCCUGAUGCAGCGACGCCCGCGUGAGGGAUGACGGCCUUCGGGUUGUAAACCUCUUUCAGUUGGGAAGAAGCCUUUAGGGGUGACGGUACUAGCAGAAGAAGCGCCGGGCU
rnacentral:rRNA from 1 species